UACGAAGGGGGCUAGCGUUGUUCGGAAUUACUGGGCGUAAAGCGCACGCAGGCGGUGGUCAUAGUCAGAAGUGAAAGCCCUGGGCUCAACCCGGGAAUUGCUUUUGAUACUGGGCCGCUAGAAUCACGGAGAGGGUAGUGGAAUUCCGAGUGUAGAGGUGAAAUUCGUAGAUAUUCGGAAGAACACCAGUGGCGAAGGCGACUACCUGGCCGUCGAUUGACGCUCAUGUGCGAAAGCGUGGGGAGCAAACAGG
rnacentral:rRNA from 1 species